rnacentral:rRNA from 1 species
GACGAACCGUGCGAACGUUGUUCGGAAUCACUGGGCUUAAAGGGCGCGUAGGCGGGCGGCCGCGUCCGGGGUGAAAUCCCACGGCUCAACCGUGGGACGGCCUCGGAUACGGGCGGCCUCGAGGGGGGUAGGGGCAUCUGGAACUGUGAGUGGAGCGGUGAAAUGCGUUGAUAUUCACAGGAACUCCGGUGGCGAAGGCGAGGUGCUGGACCCCAUCUGACGCUGAGGCGCGAAAGCCAGGGGAGCGAACGGG